rnacentral:tRNA from 1 species
CGAGGAAGGCUCGACAGCAGUGUAGAUUGCUAAUCCUUCACCCCUCCAGUUAAACCCUGAAGCUUCCUCGC